CAGCCGCCGCGGGAAUACGGAGGAUCCAAGCGUUAUCCGGAAUCAUUGGGUUUAAAGGGUCCGUAGGCGGUCUUGUAAGUCAGUGGUGAAAGCCCAUCGCUCAACGGUGGAACGGCCAUUGAUACUGCAGGACUUGAAUUAUUGGGAAGUAACUAGAAUAUGUAGUGUAGCGGUGAAAUGCUUAGAGAUCACAUGGAAUACCAAUUGCGAAGGCAGGUUACUACCAAUUGAUUGACGCUGAUGGACGAAAGCGUGGGUAGCGAACAGGAUUAGAUACCCGUGUAGUCCCUGUCUCUUAUAC
rnacentral:rRNA from 1 species